GGGCUAGGGCCUGCUGCCCCC
rnacentral:miRNA from 1 species